AAAAUGCAUGGCAUGCUCAAUGGUACCAGCGACGAUGGGGGAUAAGCUUCAUCGUCGAGAGGGAAACUGCCCGGAUCACCAGCUAAGGCCCCUAAAUGAUCGCUCAGUGAUAAAGGAGGUAAGGGUGCAGAGACAGCCAGGAGGUUUGCCUAGAAGCAGUCACCCCUUGAAAGAGUGCGUAAUAGCUCACUGAUCGAGCGCUCUUGCCCCGUUCAUCUUCGGUGCAAGAGCGCUCGAUACUCUGAAAUAGAACGAGAAAAAUUGAAUUUGAUUAAUUCAACUUAUAAGACUUUGGAACAAUUAGAAAAUUACAAAAACGACGAGGAACCCUGAACUGAAAUAAAUAAUUGUUCCGAUGGAA
rfam:Nicotiana attenuata strain TT chromosome 7, whole genome shotgun sequence.